AGAGUUUGAUCCUGGCUCAGGAUAAACGCUGGCGGCGUGCCUAACACAUGCAAGUCGAACGCUCUUGGAAACAAGGGAGUGGCGGACGGGUGAGGAACACGUGGGUAUCUACCUUGAGGUGAGGAAUACCAGCGAGAAAUCGCUGACAAGACCGCAUACCUUCUCGGAAGAGAAGAAAGUCGCAAGACGCCUUUGGAUGA
rnacentral:rRNA from 1 species